rnacentral:rRNA from 1 species
UACGUAGGGGGCAAGCGUUGUCCGGAUUUAUUGGGCGUAAAGAGCGUGUAGGCGGCCAGGUAGGUCCGUUGUGAAAACUCGAGGCUCAACCUCGAGACGUCGGCGGAAACCCUCUGGCUAGAGUCCGGAAGAGGAGAGUGGAAUUCCUGGUGUAGCGGUGAAAUGCGUAGAUAUCGUAAGGAAGACCAGUGGCGAAGGCGGGUCUCUGGACAGUUCCUGACGCUGAGGCACGAAGGCCAGGGGAGCAAACGGG